rnacentral:rRNA from 1 species
AACGAACGCUGGCGGCGUGCGUAACACAUGCAAGUCGAGGGAGAAAACCCGCAAGGGCGAGUAAACCGGCGAACGGGUGCGUAACACGUGGAUAAUGUACCUCGUUGACCGGGACAACUGGCCGAAAGGCUUGCUAAUACCGGAUGAGCCCACGACGUCUUCGGACGACGAGGGAAAAGGCGGCCUCUUCAUGCAAGCUGUCACAUCGAGAUGAGUCCGCGGCCCAUCAAAUAGUAGGUGGGGUAAAAGCCCACCAAGGCAACGACGGGUAGUUGGUUUGAGAGGAUGAUCACCCACACUGGAAGUGAGACACGGUCCAGACUCCUACGGGAGGCAGCAGUGGGGAAUCUUGCGCAAUGGGGGAAAGCCUGACGCAGCAACGCCGCGUGUGUGAUGAAGGUCUUCGGAUAGUAAAGCACUGUUGCGAGGGAAGAGACGCCACCGGACAACACCCGGUGGUCGAGACGGUACCUCGAGAGGAAGCACCGGUUAACUUUGUGC